GGAGGGGUCGCAUAGUGGUCGAGUGCACCGUCUUGGAAAGGCGGCAUCCGUCAAAAGCGGAUCGGGGGUUCGAAUCCCCCUCCCUCCGCCA
rnacentral:tRNA from 3 species